rnacentral:rRNA from 1 species
GCCCCCCACACUGGCACUGAGACACGGGCCAGACUCCUACGGGAGGCAGCAGUGAGGAAUAUUGCACAAUGGGCGCAAGCCUGAUGCAGCAACGCCGCGUGAGGGACGAAGGCCUUCGGGUUGUAAACCUCUUUUCUGAGGGACGAGGAAGGACGGUACCUCAGGAAUAAGUCUCGGCUAACUACGUGCCAGCAGCCGCGGUAAAACGUAGGAGGCGAGCGUUAUCCGGAUUUACUGGGCGUAAAGCGCGCGCAGGUGGCUUCGUGAGUCGGACAUGAAAGCUCCUGGCUUAACUGGGAGAGGCUGUUCGAUACUGCGGGGCUUGAGGUUGGGAGAGGGACGCGGAAUUCCCGGUGUAGUGGUGGAAUGCGUAGAUAUCGGGAGGAACACCAGUGGCGCAAGCGGCGUCCUGGCCCACACCUGACGCUGAGGUGCGAAAGCGUGGGUAGCAAACAGGAUUAGAUACCCUGGUAGUCCACGCUGUAAACGAUGUCAACUGGGUGUCGGUAGUUUUACACUAUCGGUGCCGAAGCUAACGCG